AACGAACGCUGGCGACAGGCUUAACACAUGCAAGUCGAGCGCCCCGCAAGGGGAGCGGCAGACGGGUGAGUAACGCGUGGGAAUCUACCCAUCUCUACGGAAUAACGCAUGGAAACGUAUGCUAAUACCGUAUACGUCCUUCGGGAGAAAGAUUUAUCGGAGAUGGAUGAGCCCGCGUUGGAUUAGCUAGUUGGUGGGGUAAAGGCCUACCAAGGCGACGAUCCAUAGCUGGUCUGAGAGGAUGAUCAGCCACACUGGGACUGAGACACGGCCCAGACUCCUACGGGAGGCAGCAGUGGGGAAUAUUGGACAAUGGGCGCAAGCCUGAUCCAGCCAUGCCGCGUGAGUGAUGAAGGCCCUAGGGUUGUAAAGCUCUUUCACCGGUGAAGAUAAUGACGGUAACCGGAGAAGAAGCCCCGGCUAACUUCGUGCCAGCAGCCGCGGUAAGAC
rnacentral:rRNA from 1 species